rnacentral:lncRNA from 1 species
GUCAGAUGGCAAUUUGUAGAGAACAAUGAAAAAACGUAAAAAAAGAGAGUCAGAGAGAGAGAAAAAAAGAGAACAGUUCUAAAUAAAUAACAUUAAAAAAAACAAUAGCGGAAGUAGUCAGUAGUAGCGCAUUCCGACGACGGACGCAUGGACAAAAUAAAUCAUGCAUAAAUAUCGUUCAUCCCGGCCAGGCAGCAGCUGGACGGAGGGAGGUCCAUUGAGCCACGAGCCACUCCACUCCACAACGGGCGAGUGCGCAGUGUGGUUGCAAAGCUUCAGACUCUCUCAGAUUAACACUAGACGAUGAUGAACUAAGAGAAGGCAAGGAAGAAGAAAUAAAAGAAGAAAUAGUAGUAAAAAAUAGAAGUA